rnacentral:tRNA from 2 species
GAUGCUGUAGCUCAAUGGUAAAGUGCUUGCCUCACAUGUAUGAGGCACUGGGUUCUAUUCUCAGCACCACA